CGUUUGAAGGCUCUAAGCCUGGUGCUGGAGUUACAAACACAGGACACUCUCGUGUCCUGCUCUCUCGCGGCCAAGAGUGACAUGAAAACAGAGAUUCAUUACGCAGUGUGAAAAUCACCAAGGAAUUACAUUUUCUCCAAGGGGCCAGCGUAGGAGCCAGUUCACGCCAAGCCGCCAGGUAUUCCCUCCGCAGUGUUUGCAUCUCGAGUCAACAGUGGCUGCUAUAUCCACCCCAGUGAUGGCAGCCGGGAGAGAUCACCCACUGCAAUCAUCAACCCUGAUGAGGGUUGCCAUGGCCACAGGGCUCUGGCGAGUGAAGGGCCCUCUGCACUUUCACGUCAGUCACUUGGCCCACGUGAAGCUCAGGCAGCUCUGCUCCCAGCUCCAGGCGCCUCCAGCAGUUACCGGCACCUCUUCCUUCGGCGAUGCCCAAGGAUCCCUGGUGCUCCCUGGUAGGAACCAGUCACGACAGGCCAUCAUUCAGUGUUUC